rnacentral:rRNA from 1 species
GUUCCAUUAGAUAGUAGGCGGGGUAACGGCCACCUAGUCUUCGAUGGAUAGGGGUUCUGAGAGGAAGGUCCCCCACAUUGGAACUGAGACACGGUCCAAACUCCUACGGGAGGCAGCAGUGAGGAAUAUUGGUCAAUGGGCGCAGGCCUGAACCAGCCAAGUAGCGUGAAGGAUGACUGCCCUAUGGGUUGUAAACUUCUUUUAUAAAGGAAUAAAGUCGGGUAUGUAUACCCGUUUGCAUGUACUUUAUGAAUAAGGAUCGGCUAACUCCGUGCCAGCAGCCGCGGUAAUACGGAGGAUCCGAGCGUUAUCCGGAUUUAUUGGGUUUAAAGGGAGCGUAGAUGGAUGUUUAAGUCAGUUGUGAAAGUUUGCGGCUCAACCGUAAAAUUGCAGUUGAUACUGGAUAUCUUGAGUGCAGUUGAGGCAGGCGGAAUUCGUGGUGUAGCGGUGAAAUGCUUAGAUAUCACGAAGAACUCCGAUUGCGAAGGCAGCCUG